rnacentral:rRNA from 1 species
CUUUACUAUAGCCUGGAAUUGGGUUCGGGCUUCGCUUGCGCAGGAUAGGUGGGAGGCAUUGAAGAUUUCCUUGUGGGGAAAUCCGAGCCAACGGUGAGAUACCACUCUAGCGAGGCUAGAAUUCUAACCUUCGCCCGUAAUCCGGGGAAGGAACAGUUUCAGGUGGGUAGUUUGACUGGGGCGGUCGCCUCCUAAAAGAUAACGGAGGCGCGCAAAGGUUCCCUCAGGCUGGUUGGAAAUCAGCCGCAGAGUGUAAAGGCACAAGGGAGCUUGACUGCGAGAGUGACAACUCGAGCAGGGUGGAAACACGGACUUAGUGAUCCGACGGCGCUGUGUGGAAGGGCCGUCGCUCAACGGAUAAAAGUUA